UUGAGAAAAAAAAAAUUGAAAUUGAAUUACUUUCUCUCUCUAAGAGCAGGCAUUCACUCUCUUUCUCUCUCUAUUAUUCUUUCUUUAUGAAAAUUAGGAGUAAUUCUUGAUCUUUCAACUCUUAGUAGCCCUAAUUUUGCCCUAACCUUCCUAUCAAUUUGAUUGAAUUCUAGUAACAAAAUUUAAGAGAGAAUUAUCAUAAACAAAGUGAAAUCUUCUCUUAAUUGUGUGUCUCUUUCAUCAGUUUGUCUGUUUCUCAGAGGCCUUCAAAUUUCAACCAUGUUUUUCAUGGGGUAAAAAUCUCAGAUACUCAAAAAAGAUAAUUGAGCCAUUUGCAUUUUGUCCUCUUUUUUUUUUUUUUGUGAAAAAUGUUUUGCAAUAUCUCCUGUUAGAUGUCUAUUUGCUGGGCAAAAAUAAGCAUUGAAGCAGUAAAGAACUAAUUUUGGCAGCCAUAUGGAGGAUGAUAAUAAAACCACCUACAAACACAAGGCCACUCCUUGUUUAUGAUAUUGGCAAGAGACUUGGAAAAAGGUUAUCAACUAUCCUACAUCCAAGGGGGAAGCUAGUAAGAGGAAAGGGGGUUCAAUUGAAUCCUGUUUGCUGAGAAAUCACAGUGUGCGAUAGGGAUUAUUACAAGGUUCUUGAAGUAGAAUAUGAUGCAUCAGAUGAGAAGAUCAGAUUAAACUAUAGGAAACUUGCACUGUCAUAUCAUUCACGUUGAUUGAAAUGCGCAGAAGUGGCAUCCUGACAAACACAAGUGUAAUGAUGCAGCAACAACUAAGUUUCAAGAGAUUAAUGAAGCUUAUUCGGUGUUAAGUGAUCCUGAUAAGAGACUUGACUAUGAUCUAAAUGGAGACUAUGAGAUAAAUAAGUAUACCUUGCCAGAAUAUCUAGCCAGAUUCAAAGGGAUGAUACUUACCUGUAAUGGGCUUGGUAUGAGUCAGGAUUCAGUCUGGUCAGAGCAAUUAACAGAAUUUAACAAGUUGACGGACAAAUGAAAGUCGGUGGUCAUCUUUUUUCUCGUCUUCACACUCAUCGUCUUUCCUAUGGUACCUUGCUUAUCCCUCCCAGAUGUCUAUGGUAGUAAACCUUCUGUUAUCAAUGAGAUUCAUGUCUAAAAUUGUGAACAUUCAUCGUCUCGCUCAAAGGUUUUCCAGAUCAACCAUGUUGUAUGUUAACUGAAUAGGAUAUCUGUACCAAGUAUGUCUAUGCAACUCAGACAAAUUUUACAGUGAUCAUGAUUUUGGUAUUUACUGAGAUCUCUUGUAAAAUGUAGUUUCUGAAACAAGGUUGUAUCAAUUCACAUGUAAUAUUGAAGAUUGAAUCUCACUGAAGAAGACAUAUUAACAAAAUUUGUUAUCAGAGGCUACUUUUUUUUAGUAUAUAGUAAGUAGUCUUUAAUUAUAUGUUA